rnacentral:rRNA from 1 species
AGUGAACGCUGGCGGUAGGCCUAACACAUGCAAGUCGAACGGCAGCACAAGAGAGCUUGCUCUCUGGGUGGCGAGUGGCGGACGGGUGAGGAAUACAUCGGAAUCUACUUUUUCGUGGGGGAUAACGUAGGGAAACUUACGCUAAUACCGCAUACGACCUACGGGUGAAAGCAGGGGACCUUCGGGCCUUGCGCGAUUGAAUGAGCCGAUGUCGGAUUAGCUAGUUGGCGGGGUAAAGGCCCACCAAGGCGACGAUCCGUAGCUGGUCUGAGAGGAUGAUCAGCCACACUGGAACUGAGACUCGGUCCAGACUCCUACGGGAGGCAGCAGUGGGGAAUAUUGGACAAUGGGCGCAAGCCCGAUCCAGCCAUACCGCGUGGGUGAAGAAGGCCUUCGGGUUGUAAAGCCCUUUUGUUGGGAAAGAAAUCCAGCUGGCUAAUACCCGGUUGGGAUGACGGUACCCAAAGAAUAAGCACCGGCUAACUUCGUGCCAGCCGCCGCAGUAA